rnacentral:misc_RNA from 1 species
AUUGCAGCAGACUGGAGCCAUGAAUGAGUGUAUGUCUUACAUGUAUGCCAGAUACGAGAAGAAAUUACAGGUCAGCAAGUGUGAGAAGUUUGGCUAUGGUUACAUGGUGACUCAAGUGGCAGCAACAGCCCCUGGCAUGAUUGCUCUGCAGAAAACCGGUUACAUUAAAUCCCUGAUAGCAGAACUGUGGUCAGUGCUGGAGUGUGGGGCUUCAGACACCCCCCUCUUCACCCCCAAAAGUUGGUCAGUGGAUGCAAUAGAUAGAUCAUCUCACAAGCACUUGAUCAGACUGCUGAAUGUAUUGUCUGCCUUUCCUGCUGUAUAUGAGGUUCUGGCCAAUAAACCUCUCCCAUCUAGAGCAGAGUAUGGAUUCAGGGAAAUCCCCAAAACUAUAGUGGACUUUAUGGAUAGGUUAAUCAUAAUGGACUCAGAUGCCAAAGCCCAUUCCCUUUUUAAUUUUGAAGAGAGUCACACUUUUGGAUUGAGAGUGCUGAAUGUGAUGAUCUGCUGUCUGGACACCUUCCUGUUGUUGCAGUCUCAAUACAACUUCCAGGACAUCCUGUUGUCAGCCCAGGGCCACAACCACAACCUAAAAGAAGAGAUAAUUCUGGACAUGCUGUCCUUGGAGAGGAACCACAUCCUGGUGAGGUCCUACCUAAUUGGAGGUCCCUCUGAGAGGACCCUGCCACCAAGGUCCAUUGAUGAGAAAAAAAAGACAGGAGCCUUUUCAUUCCCUCUCUUCUCCUCUUACCCGGUCCCCAGAGAGUACAUUCCAAGCAUUGGGGGGAGGUCUACGGUUAAACAAGACAAUGACCUUGGAAAGUUCCUCUCUGCAAAGAAGCCAGAAAAAGGCCAGGCUUGGUUGGAUAAAUGUAAAACUCUUUUUUCCAAAAUGUUGAUAUCUAAACCUGAUUUACUGAAGGCAAAUAGUGAGUAUUAACCUACAGGUAUAUGCAUUUAAUACAAUAAAUUGAUUCUACUGGCAUUUACAUGACUGUAUGUAAAGAGUAUACUUUAAAAAGUAGUUUAAAUUAUAUUAAAUUUGAUAGCUGUUUUGAAAAUAUAAUGUAUAUCCCAUAAAUUUCAUAAUGAUCUUUUUUCCACUAUUACAAUGCAAAAUAUUUAAAAUGCAGCAAUUAUAUUCAGUACUGAUAGCUACUUUUUAACUUUUUAGAUUGCAAAAAAUGACUGAUGCAAAGCAAACAAAGCUUCACAUUUUUCUAAUUUUCACAAAUUUUGUGACAAGUGGAAAUAACCAGAUAUACUGCGUUUGCAGGACCAAAUUCUUUUUAAAUUUGGUUACUUAUAAGUAAAUAUAUGAAGUAGGUAUUGGAGUUGAUAAUUACGUGUAGCAAAAAUUCUAUUCAGCUACAUGUAGAUACCUGGGAUCUGUUUUUAAACAAUUUAUUAUUGAUUUAUCAAAACUGAUUAUAGAGAACAAGACAUAAUACAAAUUUCCAACAUUGCUUUGACAAUUUUUAUAUGUGUUGAUGGCAUUAGGGUCAAGUUUCUAGGUCAGGAGUCAUGGUUCACACAGAUCACUUCGGAAAAGUAUGAAUUCUUUAAGGAAGGACAUCAUCUUUAUGAUAUCUUGUUGGUUUCUGUCAAAAAUUGUUCUCCUCUUUUUCUCCUUUCAGUAAUGCAGCAGUUGUUGGAGGUAGGGAUUCCCAUCAUGUCUAAACUCCAAGAUGUAUUCCCCUUGCUGGAGUAUACAGGUUCAGACAGUUCGUUGCGGGCUUUAAAACUAUCCCCACUUCAGAAAAAUGGAAUAAAAAUGGCCAUAAGGUAUGGUCUACACCUAAAAGUGAUCCACAAUGAUGUGACAGACCGCCUUGCCCAGCUGCUGAAGCAAUGCUCUUAUUAUCUACAACAACAGCAAAAGCCAAUGGAAGUUUCCAUAGAAUAUCUCCACUCAUUUUAUGGGGGAUUUGACUGGUUUGCUGCCACCAUCUUUCUGAUGUUUGGAGGUAACCUGGAGAAAUCCUGGAAUUUCCUCCACAAGUUUUCCACCCUAGGUUGUUCUGGUUACCUCUGGAUUCCAAGACUUCACUGCUCUGUUCACUUGCCCUCUGACCUGAUGUGCAGUGGGAUUUCCCCCAUAUUCUCCAGCACAGGUCACAACAUUGAACUCAUCCUCCAGAUAGAACUCCCCUUGGUGGCCUCUGCAUUCAAAAUGUCUGGAUUCACUCCAGCUCAGAUUUGCUUCCAUUGGCUGAAGCAAUGUUUCUGGAACUACCUGGACUGGAAUGAGAUCUGUCAGUAUGUCUGUCUGUGUGUAGUGAUGGGCAUUGACUACCAGGUGUAUCUGUGCUGUGCCAUUCUGAAACAUCAGCAGAAAAACAUUAUGGAGCACAUGCAAACUCAAGACCUCAUUAUUCAUCUCAAGGAAGCCGCCAUCACAGGAUUUCGAAUAUCAAAUUACAUGACAUACAUGUUGGAGCUUGAGAAGAAAUACAGGGAUACCAUUUUCAGAGACAUGUUGAAUAUUACACGACCUUGACCCUAAAACAAGGUCAAGGAGGACUCCAGUCAGAUAAAAACCCCUUAUAAAACAUCAUUUAGUAGCCAUGACCUAAUAUUUUCUUUAUGAAGAGUGUGCCAUUUGUGAUCCUGCACAAGGUUUGGGACAGGCAAAUCUAACACUGGAAUAUUGAAAUGAAUACAAUACAUGUAUUUGUUGUGAAUGUUGACGUCCAUUAGACCUCGGUACUUGGAGCAUCCAGAAUAUCUGUAUAUCAAUAUUAUAAUUAUUAAUUUAUCUUAGACCACUGUUUAAUGUACAGACAUUCAAAUAAUGAAGAAAAAACCAUCCAAACCAGCAUAGCUCCCUAAAAAAAAAUUCAAGCUGAAAUUGCACGUAGUCCAUAACUUGUAAAUUGCAUACAUCCAAAUUUCACCUUUAUGUCGAUUUAUUUGAUGUCAUUUAAUAAAUCGGUGGGAUUUAAAAAUAAUUGAAUAUUAAAUAACACAGGGGCGGAGACAGAAAUGUUCCGCUCCUUUUUCGUGUUUACAUGCUUUUGAAAUCAUUACAUACAUUUUGAUCUGUGUAUUUUUACUUUAGAUGCCGUCCAUUGUUUAUUUUUUACUUUUUAUUCAUUUUUGAAAGAUUUAAUUUAUUUUUAAUAAAGCUUUUAAAGG